rnacentral:rRNA from 1 species
GCUACAGGCUUAACACAUGCAAGUCGAGGGGCAGCAUGGUCUUAGCUUGCUAAGGCCGAUGGCGACCGGCGCACGGGUGAGUAACGCGUAUCCAACCUGCCUUACACUCUUGGACAGCCUUCUGAAAGGGAGAUUAAUACAAGAUGUUAUCAUGAGUAAGCAUUUUCGCAUGAUUAAAGGUUUACCGGUGUAAGAUGGGGAUGCGUUCCAUUAGAUAGUAGGCGGGGUAACGGCCCACCUAGUCUUCGAUGGAUAGGGGUUCUGAGAGGAAGGUCCCCCACAUUGGAACUGAGACACGGUCCAAACUCCUACGGGAGGCAGCAGUGAGGAAUAUUGGUCAAUGGACGAGAGUCUGAACCAGCCAAGUAGCGUGAAGGAUGAAGGUUCUAUGGAUUGUAAACUUCUUUUAUACGGGAAUAAACGAAUCCACGUGUGGAUUUUUGCAUGUACCGUAUGAAUAAGGAUCGGCUAACUCCGUGCCAGCAGCCGCGGUAAUACGGAGGAUCCGAGCGUUAUCCGGAUUUAUUGGGUUUAAAGGGAGCGUAGAUGGGUUGUUAAGUCAGUUGUGAAAGUUUGCGGCUCAACCGUAAAAUUGCAAUUGAUACUGGCAGUCUUGAGUACAGUUGAGGUAGGCGGAAUUCGUGGUGUAGCGGUGAAAUGCUUAGAUAUCACGAAGAACUCCGAUUGCGAAGGCAGCUUACUAACCUGUAACUGACAUCGAUGCUCGAAAGUGUGGGUAUCAAACAGGAUUAGAUACCCUGGUAGUCCACACGGUAAACGAUGAAUACUCGCUGUAGGCGAUAUACAGUCUGCGGCCAAGCGAAAGCAUUAAGUAUUCCACCUGGGGAGUACGCCGGCAACGGUGAAACUCAAAGGAAUUGACGGGGGCCCGCACAAGCGGAGGAACAUGUGGUUUAAUUCGAUGAUACGCGAGGAACCUUACCCGGGCUUAAAUUGCAACCGAAUAUGGCGGAAACGCUAUAGCUAGCAAUAGCGGUUGUGAAGGUGCUGCAUGGUUGUCGUCAGCUCGUGCCGUGAGGUGUCGGCUUAAGUGCCAUAACGAGCGCAACCCUUGCCGAUAGUUACUAACAGGUCAUGCUGAGGACUCUGUCGGGACUGCCAUCGUAAGAUGUGAGGAAGGUGGGGAUGACGUCAAAUCAGCACGGCCCUUACGUCCGGGGCUACACACGUGUUACAAUGGGGGGUACAGAGGGCUGCUACCACGCAAGUGGAUGCCAAUCCCAAAAACCUCUCUCAGUUCGGAUUGAAGUCUGCAACCCGACUUCAUGAAGCUGGAUUCGCUAGUAAUCGCGCAUCAGCCACGGCGCGGUGAAUACGUUCCCGGGCCUUGUACACACCGCCCGUCAAGCCAUGGGAGCCGGGGGUACCUGAAGUGCGUAACCGCAAGGAGCGCCCUAGGGUAAAACUGGUGACUGGGGCU